AAGACUAUAGACCUGCGGAGUACCUGCGGAAGGAUCAUUAACGUAUCUAUGAUGGGGUGCGGAGCGCCCUGCUCCGGUCGAACGGCCGUGCAGCGGGUGCGCCGCCCCCGUCCCACCUCACAAACCCACUGUGAACAUUCACCGGUGGAGGGGGCUCGGUCUGCGCCGUGUCCCCGAUGCCGAAUACCCAAACUCCAGUUGCAAAGAACGUCGUGCGGACUCGGUGCUGCCUAAAACAUG
rnacentral:misc_RNA from 1 species